AUGAUGAUUAAAGUUAUCCCUGUCCUAAAACGUUUGUUUGCGGAAAAACUUUAAGGUAAAAUCUGACU
rfam:Tetrahymena thermophila SB210 genomic scaffold scf_8254814, whole genome shotgun sequence.